rfam:Heterocephalus glaber contig109201, whole genome shotgun sequence.
GGGGAUGUGGGUCAGUGGUAGAGCUCUUCCAUUACAUGCACAAGGCCCUGGGUUCGAUCCCCAGCAUCACCA